rnacentral:rRNA from 1 species
CCUACGGGAGGCGGCAGUGGGGAAUUUUCCGCAAUGGGCGAAAGCCUGACGGAGCAAUACCGCGUGAGGGAGGAAGGCUCUUGGGUCGUAAACCUCUUUUCUCAGGGAAGAACACAAUGACGGUACCUGAGGAAUAAGCAUCGGCUAACUCCGUGCCAGCAGCCGCGGUAAUACGGAGGAUGCAAGCGUUAUCCGGAAUGAUUGGGCGUAAAGCGUCCGCAGGUGGCAAUGUAAGUCUGCUGUUAAAGAGUGAGGCUCAACCUCAUAAGAGCAGUGGAAACUACAUAGCUAGAGUACGUUCGGGGCAGAGGGAAUUCCUGGUGUAGCGGUGAAAUGCGUAGAGAUCAGGAAGAACACCGGUGGCGAAGGCGCUCUGCUAGGCCGUAACUGACACUGAGGGACGAAAGCUAGGGGAGCGAAUGGGAUUAGAUACCCCAGUAGUCCUAGCCGUAAACGAUGGAUACUAGGCGUGGCUUGUAUCGACCCGAGCCGUGCCGUAGCUAACGCGUUAAGUAUCCCGCCUGGGGNGUACGCGCGACGAGAACGUAAGAGUAGAGCGNGAGACGNGCGACGACGACGACGAGGAGUAG